UUUUGCUCUUCUCAAACUUAUUCGUCUCCUCGAUCUUCACAACGUGAUCCCCACACUCAAGUUCAAGAUUUGCCGGCAUAGUUCAAAUGUCUUCCAUUAGCACUCAAAAUGCCUCCUCUUUGUUGUGAUUUUCAUCUUCAACGCCACAAUGGAAAUAUGAUGGCUUUCUUAGUUUUAGAGGUGAGGACACUUGCAAUAGUUUUACGGACCAUCUCUACGUUGCUUUGAAACAAAAGGGCAUAGCCAUCUUUAGAGAUGAGGAAAAAAUUAAGAGAGGAAAAUCUAUUUCACCAGAUUUCUUGAAAGCAAUAGAAGAAUCAAGAUUUGUGAUUGUCUGUGUUGUAUUUUGUCCUCAUCCACAUCACCAAAUCCCCAACGGUGAUUCACUUUCCUGUUGGCUGGUAGCCAAUGGAAAAAAAAUGUUUUCUGCACAAAACACUGGCCAUAUUGUUGUUUUAUCGGAUCAUAUCUGGCUACUUUAUUUGCUUCCUCAAUACUAACAAGAGAAACAAAUAAAAUUAUUGUGGGAAUGUGAUGCAAAUGGAUUCAUUCGGGUUGGAAUUAGAAUUAUGACUCAUUGUUCAGUCUUUGAGGUGAAGAGAUGCAGGUUCCGUAUGGUAUAUAAGAAAGACAUUGAAGAUGUCAACCGAAGUAUGGCUCAGUGUAGCAACAAUAGCACCAUUCCUUAUAAGGGUUUGGAUGUUCUCCAUCAUAAAUUCGGAAAUGCCAAGUGAACCGUGAUGACUAUGAUGGGGCUGGACCUAAUGGAGAAGGGAGCUCUAACGAUGUACCACACCCAAAAUGGAUUGUGAGGAGUCAAUUGAGUAUAGAGAAUGUGGUGAGGAGUUAAGUGAUUGGAUGGAAUCUAGUGAAGGUGACCGGGAAGGUUAAUCAACUUUUUUCUCUACAUUACCUGCAAACAACCAUGUAGAAAAGGUUGAAAAAUGGAGAGGGUGGUCUGCUUAGAUUUGUACCAGUUGGAGCUAUGCCAAAAAACUUUGGAGGAUAUAAUUUUUUAUUUGGGGCAGGUUGUGGGAAGACCCACAUUUCUGUACUGCUUAUGCAUGAGCUGAGUCCCUUAAUAAGGAAUCCCCAGAAGAAUAUAUGUAUCUUUGUCGCCCAUACAGUGGCUCUGGUUGAGCAGGGAAGGUGACGUUCUUGGUGGUCGGUGAUUCCUUUCCAGCUCUGAGACUCUUGGCUCUGCUAACUUCAGGUAAUGGAUGGUGAUUUGAGCCUUUAGUAGUUCAUGUUUUUAGUUUUAAAGUUUAAUCUCGCAUCAAAUGUUUUGUUAAGACCCUUUAAUUAUGAUAAUUCCUUAUACGAAUGUUAUUGUA